rnacentral:misc_RNA from 1 species
GACGUUCUUCGUGCUGGCCGCGGCGCGGCUGAUGCUGAUGCGUCUUGAAAAGAAGGCGGGGAACUAAGUCAUGAACCCGAUCUAUGCCUCUCGCCGCCGCUGGGACAUCGUCAUCCGGUUCUUGUGUCUCGGCNNNNNCUAUUUUCGGCGUGACCUGGCUCGCGCUGAUCCUGUUCACGCUGUUCUACAACGGCUUUGCUGGCCUGCAUCUCGGUGUCUUCACCGAGAAUACGCCGCCGCCCGGAUCCACCGACG